CAGCAAUAAUAAUUAUGAGUAAGGAAAAUAACAAUUCUGGGCGAUGCCUGAAUCCUCACUGCUAAUGUAAGAUGAAUUUUUGAGUGAGUAAAGGUUGCCCCUAAGGUGACCCGCCUAUUUUUGCGGGAUGCCUGGGAGUCGCGAUCUGCCCG
rnacentral:snRNA from 1 species